rnacentral:rRNA from 1 species
CUUGCUUCUUUGCUGACGAGUGGCGGACGGGUGAGUAUAUGUCUGGGAAACUGCCUGAUGGAGGGGGAUAACUACUGGAAACGGUAGCUAAUACCGCAUAACGUCGCAAGACCAAAGAGGGGGACCUUCGGGCCUCUUGCCAUCGGAUGUGCCCAGAUGGGAUUAGCUAGUAGGUGGGGUAACGGCUCACCUAGGCGACGAUCCCUAGCUGGUCUGAGAGGAUGACCAGUCACACUGGAACUGAGACACGGUCCAGACUCCUACGGGAGGCAGCAGUGGGGAAUAUUGCACAAUGGGCGCAAGCCUGAUGCAGCCAUGCCGCGUGUAUGAAGAAGGCCUUCGGGUUGUAAAGUACUUUCAGCGGGGAGGAAGGGAGUAAAGUUAAUACCUUUGCUCAUUGACGUUACCCGCAGAAGAAGCACCGGCUAACUCCGUGCCAGCAGCCGCGGUAAUACGGAGGGUGCAAGCGUUAAUCGGAAUUACUGGGCGUAAAGCGCACGCAGGCGGUUUGUUAAGUCAGAUGUGAAAUCCCCGGGCUCAACCUGGGAACUGCAUCUGAUACUGGCAAGCUUGAGUCUCGUAGAGGGGGGUAGAUUCCAGGUGUAGCGGUGAAAUGCGUAGAGAUCUGGAGGAAUACCGGUGGCG